ACGGCGUUGGAGGGACAAGCACCGGCUUGGAGGUGAAUGGCAGACGCAUCCCUGGAACCUUUGUCAGGUAACAGGUUGACCUCCGCAGCCUGAUGACGCCUGCCACUGCCUAAGAUACGCUCAAAGGCAGCCUCCGUAGAAUUUGCUGAGUGGAAAGUCACUUGACUUUGCUAUUCUUAUUUGGUCAGCGUUAGACAGUCAAGAGUGUUAAGACGCUGAAUAAAGCACGGCGUUGCAGGUGCAGGGGCAAGCACCGGCUUGGAGGUGAAUGGCAGACGCAUCCCUGGAACCAUUGUCAGGUAACAGGUUGACCUCCGCAGUCUGAUGACGCCUACCAC